UACGUAGGUGGCAAGCGUUGUCCGGAAUUAUUGGGCGUAAAGCGCGCGCAGGUGGUUCCUUAAGUCUGAUGUGAAAGCCCACGGCUCAACCGUGGAGGGUCAUUGGAAACUGGGGAACUUGAGUGCAGAAGAGGAAAGUGGAAUUCCAAGUGUAGCGGUGAAAUGCGUAGAGAUUUGGAGGAACACCAGCGGCGAAGGCGGCACUCUGGGCUGGAAUUGACGCUGAGGAGCGAAAGUGUGGGUAGCAAACAGG
rnacentral:rRNA from 1 species